rnacentral:rRNA from 1 species
GACGAACGCUGGCGGCGUGCUUAACACAUGCAAGUCGAACGGAAAGGCCCUGCUUUUGUGGGGUGCUCGAGUGGCGAACGGGUGAGUAACACGUGAGUAACCUGCCCUUGACUUUGGGAUAACUUCAGGAAACUGGGGCUAAUACCGGAUAGGAGCUCCUGCUGCAUGGUGGGGGUUGGAAAGUUUCGGCGGUUGGGGAUGGACUCGCGGCUUAUUAGCUUGUUGGUGGGUAGUGGCUUACCAAGGCUUUGACGGGUAGCCGGCCUGAGAGGGUGACCGGCCACAUUGGGACUGAGAUACGGCCCAGACUCCUACGGGAGGCAGCAGUGGGGAAUAUUGCACAAUGGGCGGAAGCCUGAUGCAGCAACGCCGCGUGCGGGAUGACGGCCUUCGGGUUGUAAACCGCUUUCGCCUGUGACGAAGCGUGAGUGACGGUAAUGGGUAAAGAAGCACCGGCUAACUACGUG